UACGUAGGGUGCGAGCGUUAAUCGGAAUUACUGGGCGUAAAGCGUGCGCAGGCGGUUUUGUAAGCCGGAUGUGAAAUCCCCGGGCUUAACCUGGGAAUGGCAUUCGGGACUGCAAGGCUGGAGUGCGGCAGAGGAGACUGGAAUUCCUGGUGUAGCAGUGAAAUGCGUAGAUAUCAGGAGGAACACCGAUGGCGAAGGCAGGUCUCUGGGCUGACACCGACGCUCAUGCACGAAAGCGUGGGGAGCAAACAGG
rnacentral:rRNA from 1 species